UACGUAGGGGGCAAGCGUUGUCCGGAUUUACUGGGCGUAAAGCGAGCGCAGGCGGACCGUUAAGUAGGAAGUGAAAGGUCGGAGCUCAACUCCAACAUUGCUUUCUAUACUGGCGGUCUUGAGUCACGGAGGGGAAAGCGGAACGACACGUGUAGCGGUGAAAUGCGUUGAUAUGUGUCGGAACACCAAUGGCGAAGGCAGCUUUCUGGACGAUGACUGACGCUCAGGCUCGAAAGCCAAGGUAGCGAACAGG
rnacentral:rRNA from 1 species